CUCUUCUCUUCUCCAAACUCCACUUCUUCUUGUUCUUCCUAUUAUUUCUCUCUUUGUGAUGGCACAGAUGGCGUGAACUUCCGAUCUACGAGGAGCGAAACAAAAAUCGAUUCGUGGACUAACAUCAUAGGUAUAUAUAAAAUUGUGAGCAUAAGAUGACCUAAUUUUGUCUUGGAUUUUAAAAAAGGUGAUUGCAUGCCAUUGACAUGGUCUAUUAUAUAGGUGGAGGAGAAGAAAAGAGGAAGACAAACUAAACAACUCCUCAAUUUUGUUACAAUGAUGCUAUUGACAUUGAACAGGUUUGCUCUAACUUAUUUGUCUUCGGUGCUUCUGUGAGUAAGAAGGAGGUUGUUUUGUUCGAUCAAGUCCUUGUCGCCAGUUUCAUGAUCUUGGGACUGGUUUUGUUUCAUGGUCGUGGGCGAUGGUGGUGGAUCUCUGCGUGGUGAGUGUUGCAGUUCUCUUCGUCCUCAAUGGGGUGUACAUGGAUUGGGCAAAUCCGGUUGACCCGGUCAAACCCACCCUAUCCAACCCAAAAAAUUGGGUCGGGCAAUUGGGAGGAUAUGAAUUUCAAAAAUAAAAAACCCAUAAAAAAUGGGUUACGGGUAAAACUGUACCCAACCCAAAAAACCCACUGACCCACUAGUAUUAUGGUUUUUUUGAAAUAGUUUUUAUGAAAAUAC